rnacentral:misc_RNA from 1 species
ACCUAUUCUGUGACUGUAUGUAUACUGUGCUACUGACACUGACUCUGAGCUCAUUCUUGUAAAUAAAGUUUUUUUUACGUACCGUAUUCAAUAAGCCUCCAUAAUUUAUUAUUAUGUAUAGGAAGAGAAAAGGAGGUCGUUGGUGCUCAGCACCCAAUUGCCACCGAAAUUCAAACUCAUAUCCUGGAAUGACAUUUUUCCGGUUUCCAAAAGAUGAUGAACGUGCAAGAAAAUGGAUCGUUAAUUGCAAAAGACAAGAUUUGUUUGGGAAGGAUGCAAACUAUUUGCAUCAAAAUCUUAAGUUAUGCAGUCUUCACUUUGAAGAUAAAAUGAUUGCCAAUUUCCUAAAAAAUCGUUUGAAGCCAGAUGCGGUGCCAACCCUGUUUCCAGUGUCAAAUCCUCCAAAACUAAAUCAGACAAAAUUGUUUGUGGAUAGCAUUCAAACAUCAUCCAGAUUUUACGAUGGACUUUCACAAAAUGAGGUGGCUACAUGUUCCCCAGUGAAAGCUGAAUUACUACAAACAUCGUCCUCAGAGAAUAUGGUUUGCUAUUCAGCUCCUUCAUCAAUAUCGUUAGUCGAGAUGGACAAUGAUGAACCUGAAUUACCAGAAACAUCGCCCUCAGAGAACACAGUUUGCUAUUCAGCUCCUUCAUCAAUAUCGUCAGUCGAGAUGGACAAUGAUGAACCUGAAUUACCAGAAACAUCGCCCACAGAGAACACAGUUUGCUAUUCAGCUCCUUCAUCAAUAUCGUCAGUCGUGAUGGACAAUGAUGAACCUCAAAUUCAGGACUCCAAUCCAAUUGAACGUGAGAUUGGUGUGAAACAAGAAAAGAGAACUAAAAGCUCAAUCAAAUUGAGAAGAAUAAUAAAUCGACAAACAAAAAUUAUUGCAUUCCAACGUCGGCAGAUUUGGCGAAUGAAGAAAAGAAUAGAGCUACUAAAAAAUAUUUUAGAUGAAAAUGGACUGUCAGGAAGAUGAAAUGAAAACAUUCUUUAUUUUGCAGAGUUGAACGCCAAAUUUUGACGGAGUUAGGACUUUUGAGUCAUCUCUAAGAUGAUACAUUUGCUGUCUUUUAGAAGGUAACAACUUGUGAAAUCAAGACAAGGAAGUGUUUAAGGAUGUAUUACAGUAACAUGUAUGGAGCAGUGAACCAGAUAGCUAGGACUACUAUGUCCGACUACUUAAUAAAUGCUAUUGGAACAGCUGAAUUUGAGCUGAAGAAGACCACAUUCUGAAGAAGUUGAAAAAAAAGAAGAAGAAGAUGAAGACUUGUCUGAAUUUUCCACUGAAUCCAUCUCAUUUUUCUGAACAUCGCAGUUUGUCAACGAAUGGCAUCGCAACCUUCAUUCAACUCCAAGUGGAUUACUCCAAUAUCAGUAAUUUUUAAGUAAUCCUAAUAGUAUUCCUUAUUUAACCGAUUGAAGUGUCUAGGGUGGUUUUUUACUGUUUUUUAUUUUUCACUGCUAUUACUGCCAAUCUAAGCUGACUUGCCUUUUGCAAUGUUUCACUCGUUUCUGUUAGGAUAUUUACUAACCUGCAUAAAACGUGCCUCCGGAAUCCAAAAGUCUCCACAUCAAUAAAUCACCAUGUAAAGUUUAUUGAAUUCCGGAAUUUGAAUUAAAAAUAAAAAAUUACUGAAUAUGAAUGAUAGAAGGAAUACGGUAGUCAAUGAUAUGACAUGUGGUUUGUGACAGACCACAACUCAAGCAAGUGUUUUUCACUAGAAUGGCUGGGGUCUUUUUCAUUACUUAAUUCAUUGUGUGAUAUUGCUACAUUGGGCCAAACUGAAGUGUCGAG